rnacentral:rRNA from 1 species
GACGAACGCUGGCGGCGUGCCUAAUACAUGCAAGUCGAACGCAGUUGCGAACGGGGGAGUAACGCGUCGGUACAUGCCUCAUAGCGGGGGGUAACUAUUGGAAACGCUAGCUAAUACCGCACACUGUAAGAUGGACCUGCGUUAUAUUAGCUAGUUUGUGAGGUAAAGGCGCACCAGGGCGACGAUACAUAGCAGACCUGAGAGGGGGAUCGGGCACCACGGGACUGGGACACGGGCCAGACACCUACGGGAGGCAGCAGGAGGGAAUGUUCGGCAAUGGACGGAAGUCUGACCGGGCAACGGCGCGGGAGUGAAGAAGGGUUUCGGAUCUGAAAGCGCUUUUGUGAUAGAAGCGGUAACUAACCAGAAAGGGACGGCUAACUACGUGCCAGCAGCCGCGGUAAUAC